ensembl:lncRNA
GAACUUCUGGUUUCUGACAGGAUGCUCAUGAGUUCCUGCUCCUCCUCUUCAUGAAGAUGAAGAUGGAAGGUGAGACACUGCAGGAGAUCUCCACGUCACCCAGCUAUAUCUGCCCCGUCCAGAACUUUGAGUUCAGACUGCAGUGUGUACGCACAUGCACCAGGUAACGCUUGACUUCAUCGAACGUAUUAUUGUUGUCGCAUAAUACUACUAUAGUUCCUCCAUCAUUGAAUGAUGGAAAUCAGAGUCAAUCAAUGUUACGCCAACACUUUUGGCAUCAUGAUCUGGUCUGCUGUGUUCAAAUGGUGAUUUUCUGUUCUCUGCCCGUCUUAAAAGCUGCGGUGACAAGGUCUUCCAGAAGGAGGAGCAGAACCACUUGUCCUUGGACCUCCACCCGUCGUUGAUAGCUGGCCUCCAAUUCUACUUCAAAGUCAGUACACCGUUGUGUUGGUGUGUCCGAUUACGCUGGUCCACUGAUACUCACAGAGCACUUUCCCUCAGCCUUCAGAGUUGGAGUGCACCUGCCGGCAGUGCUCUGGAUGCCAGGCAACAGCGGUUCGGCAUUUCCUCACUCUGCCCAGGUGAGCCAUGAACUUGAGUCUGUUGUCUCCAAUGUUGCCUUGAAGCAGACUUUUCAUACGUACGGGCGCGUGUGUGCAUGCAGCGAUCGGACGAUGAACCGUUUGUGUCCACAGAGUGUUACUCCUUCACAUGAAGCGCUUCCACCACGACGGGGCACGGUUGAGGAAGGUGACCGAUGCUGUCAGCGUUCCUCCAUGGCUGUCUCUGGCCUCCCUCGUUGGAGAGCAGGGUGCUGCAGCUGGGAUAGACCCACUGAGAUCAAGUUAUGGAGAGGGGGAAAUCGCAUCUGGAGCAAAACCAAGUGCAAACAUGGGUAAGAAAAAAGUGAUGGAUUCCUAUCUCAUGCCCAACCGCUUGAGUUUUUCAGUUGUGUACAAAACAGGAUUGUUGGUGUGUUUCUCAGCAGCAGUGGAUCAUCUUGACAGUGCAGGAGACAGGGACAGAGGUCUUCAGGAAGUUCAUGGGGUGAGAGGGGCCAGGGAGAGAGCUGUAGUACACAGUGGGACAGAAUAUGGACAGAUUCAAGUGAUGAUGCAACAGAGAAGCCCCAAGUGUUUUUUACACUGGCACUAUGCCCGUCUUAUUUGAAACUUUUUCCCGGCAUUGGCGUUUUUGCACUUGUAAACAGUUAAUGGGGUUUGUAGCCUACAUUCAGACGCAGUCUAC